rnacentral:rRNA from 1 species
UGGGGAAUUUUGCACAAUGGGCGGAAGCCUGAUGCAGCGACGCCGCGUGGAGGAUGAAGGCCUUCGGGUUGUAAACUCCUUUUGCAGGGGAAGAUGGUGACGGUACCCUGCGAAUAAGCCACGGCUAACUCUGUGCCAGCAGCCGCGGUAAGACAGAGGUGGCGAGCGUUGUUCGGAAUUACUGGGCUUAAAGGGCGCGUAGGCGGUGGGACAAGUCUGAGGUGGAAUCCGGGGGCCUAACCUCCGAACUGCCUUGGAAACUGUACUGCUUGAGUUAGACAGGGGAAGGCGGAAUUCCUGGUGUAGCGGUGAAAUGCGUAGAUAUCAGGAGGAAGGCCUGUGGCGAAGGCGGCCUUCUGGGUCUUAACUGACGCUGAGGCGCGAAAGCGUGGGGAGCAAA